GCUAACCGCGUGAGUAACCUGCCUUAGCAGAAGGGGAUCAGCCUUUGGAACGAAGAUGAUACCCUAUGAAACCAUAACCUCGCAUGAGGCCUUGGUCAAAGAUUUAUCGCUCUAAGAUGGACUUGCGUCUGAUUAGUUUACGUCUGGUGGGGUAACGGCCUACCAAGACAGCGAUCAGUAGCCGGCUUGAGAGAGUGAACGGCCACAUUGGGACUGAGACACGGCCCAAACUCCUACGGGAGGCAGCAGUGGGGAAUCUUCCGCAAUGGGCGCAAGCCUGACGGAGCAAUGCCGCGUGAGUGAAGAAGGCCUUCGGGUUGUAAAACUCUGUCCUCAUCCAAGAGAAGGAAAGGUAGUAACUGGCCUUUCCAGGACGGUAGAUGAGGAGGAAGCCCCGGCUAACUAUGUGCCAGCAGCCGCGGUAAAACAUAGGGGGCAAGCGUUGUCCGGAAUCACUGGGCGUAAAGGGCGCGCAGGCGGUCUGUUAAGUCAGAUGUGAAAGGUUAGGGCUCAACCCUGAACGUGCAUCUGAUACUGGCAGACUUGAGUAUGGAAGAGGUAAGUGGAAUUCCUAGUGUAGCGGUGAAAUGCGUAGAUAUUAGGAGGAACACCAGUGGCGAAGGCGACUUACUGGGCCAUAACUGACGCUGAGGCGCGAAAGCGUGGGGAGCAAACAGGAUUAGAUACCCUGGUAGUCCAUGCCGUAAACGGUGGGCGCUAGGUGUAGGGGGCUUCCACGUCUUCUGUGCCGUAGCUAACGCAUUAAGCGCCCCGCCUGGGGAGUACGCCG
rnacentral:rRNA from 1 species